UUACAGAGGACUGAUGCCCGGUGAAAAGGUGAACGUGACAUAUACCCCCGUCAGCUGCAAGAAAUGAACCACGAAACAGAUGACUGAUGACCAGUGAAAAGGUGAACGUGACAUAUACCCCCGUCAGCUGCAAGAAAGGAACAACAAAACAGAUGACUCAUGACCAGUGAAAAGGUGAACGUGACAUAUACCCCCGUCAGCUGCAAGAAAGGAACCACAAA